UAUUCCCCACUGCUGCCUCCCGUAGGAGUUUGGUCCGUGUCUCAGUACCAAUGUGGGGGACCUUCCUCCCAGAACCCCUACCGAUCGUCGCCUUGGUGGGCCGUUGCCCCGCCAACUAGCUAAUCGGACGCAUGUCCAUCCAUGAGCAAUAAAUCUUUAACCAUUAUCAGAUGUCUUCAAACGGUUUCAUGCGGUAUUAAUCCAGCUUUCGCUGGGCUAUCCCCCACUCAUGGGCAGGUUACAUACGCGUUACUCACCCGUGCGCCGGUCGCCGGCAGGAUUGCUCCCCCGCUGCCCCUCGACUUGCAUGUGUUAGGCCUGCCGCCAGCGUUCAUCCUGAGCCAA
rnacentral:rRNA from 1 species